CAGGGGCCAGAUGGAUCUGGCUCUGACCCCAGAGACCCACCCAAGGAUGGAGGCAGCAAUUUCUCCCGUAAAGCAGGAACCUCCAUACUGUUCUCCAUAGCGGCUGUAUCAAUUUACAUUCCCACCAACAGUGCAAGAGAGUUCUCUCUCCUCCACACCCUCUCCAGCAUUUGUUGUUUGUAGAUUUUCUGAGGAUGCCCAUUCUGACCGGCGUAAGGUGAUACCUCAAUGUAGUUUUGAUUGCAUGUCUCUAAUAAUUAGUGAUGUUGAGCAGCUUUUCAUGUGCUUCUUGGCCAUCUGUAUGUCUUCUUUGGAGAAAUGUCUAUUUAGGUCUUCUGCCCAUUUUUUGAUUGGGUUGUUUGUUUUUUGUUAAUAUUGAGCUGCAUGAGCUGUUUAUAUAUUUUGGGGAUUAAUCAUUUGUCCGUUGAUUCAUUUGCAAAUAUUUUCUCCCAUUCUGAGGGUUGUCUUUUCAUCUUGUUUGUAGUUUCCUUUGCUGUGCAAAACUUUGAAGUUUCAUUAGGUCCUAUUUGUUUAUUUUUGUUUUUAUUUCCAUUACUCUAGGAGGUGGACCAAAAAAGAUCUUGCUGUGAUUUAUGUCAAAGAGUGUUCUUCCUAUGUCUCCUCGAAGAGUUUUAUAGUGUCCGGCGGUCUUACAUUUAGGUCUCUAAUCCAUUUUGAGUUUAUUUUUGUGUAUGGUGUUAGGGAGUGUUCUAAUUUCAUUCUUUUACAAGUAGCUGUCCAGUUUUCCCAGCACCACUUAUUGAAGAGACUGUCUUUUCUCCAUUUUAUAUCCUUGCCUCCUUUGUCAUAGAUUAGUUGACCAUAGGUGUGUGGGUUUAUCUCUGGGCUUUCUAUCCUGUUCCAUUGAUCUAUAUUUCUGGUUUUGUGCCAGUACCAUAUUGUCUUGAUUACUGUAGCUUUGUAGUAUAGUCUGAAGUAAGGGAGUCUGAUUCCUCCAGCUCUGUUUUUUUCCCUCAAGACUGCUUUGGCUAUUUGGGGUCUUUUGUGUCUCCUACAAGUUUUCAGGUUUUUUGUUCUAGUUCUGUAAAUAAUGCCACUGGUAUUUUGAUAGGGAUUGCAUUGAAUCUGUAGAUUGCUUUGGGUAGUAUAGUCAUUUUCACCAUAUUGAUUCUUCCAAUCCAAGAACAUGGUAUAUCUCUCCAUCUGUUUGUGUCAUCUUUGAUUUCUUUCAUCAGUGUCUUAUAGUUUUGUGAGUACAGGUCUUUUGUCUCCCUAGGUAGGUUUAUUCCUAGGUAUUUUACUCUUUUUGUUGCAAUGGUGAAUGGGAUUGUUUCCUUAAUUUCUCUUUCUGAUCUUUCAUUGUUAGUGUAUAGGAAUGCCAGAGAUUUCUGUGCAUUAAUUUUGUAUCCUGCAACUUUACCAAAUUCAUUGAUUAGCUCUAGUAGUUUUCUGGUGGCAUCAUUAGGAUUCUCUAUGUAUAGUGUCAUGUCAUCUAAAAACAAUAAGUUUUAUUUCUUCUUUUCCAAUUUGGAUUCCUUUUAUUUUUCUUCUCUGACUGCUGUGGCUAGGACUUCCAAAACUGUGUUGAAUAAUAGUGGUGAGAGUGGACAUCCUUUUCUUGUUCCUGGUCUUAGAGGAAAUGCUUUCAGUUUUUCACCAUUGAGAAUGAUGUUUUGCUUUGGGUUUGUCGUAUAUGGCCUUUAUUAUGUUGAGGUAGGUUCCCUCUAUGCCCACUUUCUGGAGAGUUUUUAUCAGAAAUGGGUGUUGAAUUUUGUCAAAAGCUUUUUCUGCAUCUAUUGAGAUGAUUAUAUGGUUUUUCUUCUUCAGUUUCUUAAUAUGGUGUAUCACAUUGAUUGAUUUGCGUAUAUUGAAGAAUCCUUGCAUCCCUGGGAUAGAUCCCACUUGAUCAUGGUGUAUGAUCGUUUUCAUGUGUUGUUGGAUUCUGUUUGCUAGUAUUUUGUUGAGGAUUUUUGCAUCUAUAUUCAUCAGUGAUAUUGGUCUGUAGUUUUCUUUUUUUGAGGUAUCUCUGUCUGGUUUUGGUAUCAGGGUGAUGGUGGCCUCAUAGAAUGAGUUUGGGAGUGUUCCUUCCUCUGCAGUUUUUUGGAAGAGUUUGAGAAGGAUGGGUAUUAGCUCUUCUCUAAAUGUUUGAUAGAAUUCACCUGUGAAGCCAUCUGGUCCUGGACUUUUGUUUGUUGGAAGAUUUUUAAUCACCAUUUCCAUUUCAUUACUUGUGAUUGGUCUGUUCAUAUUCUCUAUUUCUUCCUGGUUCACUCUUGGAAGGUUAUACCUAAGAAUUUGUCCAUUUCCUCCAGGUUGUCCGUUUUAUUGGCAUAGAGUUGCUUGUAGUAGUCUCUCAUGAUACUUUGUAAUUCUGCGGUGUCCGUUGUAACUUCUCCUUUACAUCUCUAAUUUCAUUGAUUUGAGUCCUCUCCCUCUUUUUCUUGAUGAGUCUGGCUAAAGGUUGAUCAAUUUUGUUUAUCUUCUCAAAGAACCAGCUUUUAGUUUUAUUGAUCUUUGCUAUUAUUUUCUUUGUGUCUAUUUCAUUUCUUUCUGCUCUGAUCUUUAUGAUUUCUUUCCUUCUACUAACUUUGGGUUUGUUUGUUCUUCUUUCUCUAGUUCCUUUAGGUGUAAGGUUAGCUUGGUUAUUUGAGAUUUUUCUUGUUUCUUGAGGUAGGCUUGUAUUGCUAUUAAUUUCCCCCUUAGAACUGCUUUUGCUGCAUCCCAUAGGUUUUGGAUCAUCGUGUUUUCAUUGUCAUUUGUCUCUAGGUAUUUUUUAAUUUCCUCUUUGAUUUCUUCACUGAUCUCUUGGUGAAGAGAUUUAGUAACGUAUUGUUUAGCCUCCAUGUGUUUGUGUUUUUUACGUUUUCUUUCCCUGUAAUUGAUUUCUAAUCUUACAGCGCUGUGGUUGGAAAAGAUGCUUGAUAUGAUUUCAGUUUUCUUAAAUUUACCAAGGCUUGAUUUGUGACCCAAGAUGGGAUCUAUCCUGGAGAAUGUUCCAUGUGCACUUGAGAAGAAAGUGGAAUCUGCUGUUUUUGGAUGGAAUGUCCUAUAGAUAUCAAUUAAAUCUCUCUGGUCUAUUUUGUCAUUUAAAGCUUGUAUUUCCUUAUUAAUUUUCUGUCUGGAUGAUCUGUCCAUGGGUGUAAGUGAGGUGUUAAAGUCUCCCACUAUUAUUGUGUCACUGUCGAUUUCCUCUUUUAUAGCUAUUAGCAGUUGCCUUAUGUAUUGAGGUGCUUGUAUGUUGGGUGCACGUAUAUUUAUAAUUGUUAGAUCUUUUUCUUGGAUUGAUCCCUUGAUCAUUAUGUAGUGUCCUUCCUUGUCUCUUGUAACAUUCUUUAUUUUAAAGUCUAUUUUAUCUGAUAUGAGUAUAGCUACUCCAGCUUUCUUUUGAUUUCCAUUUGCAUGGAAUAUCUUUUUCCAUCCCCUCACUUUCAGUCUGUAUGUGUCCCUAGGUCUAAAGUGGGUCUCUUGUAGACAGCAUAUAUAUGGGUCUUGUUUUUGUAUCCAUUCAGCCAGUCUAUGUCUUUUGGUUGGGGCAUUUAAUCCAUUCACGUUUAAGGUAAUUAUCGAUAUGUAUGUUCCUAUGACCAUUUUCUUAAUUGUUUUGGGUUUGUUUUUGUAGGUCCGUUUCUUCUCUUGUGUUUCCCACUUAGAGAAGUUCCUUUAGCAUUUGUUGUAGAGCUGGUUUGGUGGUGCUGAAUUCUCUUAGCUUUUGCUUGUCUCUAAAGCUUUUGAUUUCCCCAUCAAAUCUAAAUGAGAUCCUUGCCGGGUAGAGUAAUCUUGGUUGUAGGUUCUUCCCUUUCAUCACUUGAAGUAUAUCAUGCCACUCCCUUCUGGCUUGCAGAGUUUCUGCUGAGAAAUCAGCUGUUAACCUUAUGGGAGUUCCCUUGUAUGUUAUUUGUCGUUUUUCCCAUGCUGCUUUCAAUAAUUUUUCUUUGUCUUUAAUUUUUGCCACUUUGAUUACUAUGUGUCUCAGCGUGUUUCUCCUUGGGUUUAUCCUGUAUGGGACUCUCUGCGCUUCCUGGACUUGGGUGGCUAUUUCCUUUCCCAUGUUAGGGAAGUUUUCGACUAUAAUCUCUUCAAAUAUUUUCUCUGGUCCUUUCUCUCUCUCUCUUCUCCUUCUGGGACCCCUAUAAUGUGAAUGUUGUUGCGUUUAAUGUUGUCCCAGAGGUCUCUUAGGCUGUCUUCACUUCUUUUCAUUCUUUUUUCUUUAGUCUGUUCCACAGCAGUGAAUUCCACCAUUCUGUCUUCCAGGUCACUUAUCCGUUCUUCUGCCUCAGUUAUUUCUGCUAUUGAUUCCUUCUAGUGUAGUUUUCAUUUCAGUUAUUGUAUUGGUCAUCUCUGUUUGUUUGUUCUUUAAUUCUUCUAGGUCUUUGUUAAUCAUUUCUUGCAUCUUCUCAAUCUUUGCCUCCAUUCUUAUUCCGAGGUCCUGGAUCAUCUUCACUAUCAUUAUUCUGAAUUCUUUUUCUGGAAGGUUGCCUAUCUCCACUUCAUUUAGUUGUUUUUCUGGGGUUUUUUCUUGUUCCUUCAUCUGGUACAUAGCCCUCUGCCUUUUCAUCUUCUCUGUCUUUCUAAAAACUGAGGAAAGAGGAAGGAACUUGGCCCAGGGCUAGGAAGGCCAACAGAGAGGUAUGGAUUUAGGAAAGGAAGCAGGAGUGAGGAUGAAAUGGCAGAAGUAAAAAGCAGGGUCAGAGGUCUGGGUUGAAAGAACACAAUUUGAGUAGAGUUGAAGGUGACAGAAGAUGAGUCUAGGUUUACUAGGAGAAAUAGAAAAAGUCUCUUGGGGACGUUGGCCUUAAGUCUCACAACCACCAGAUAGGUAUUUCAGAAAACAAGAGGUUCAGGACACAUCUCUGAAAGGUUUGAGUUGCCUUAUUCAGGUAUGAUUAUAGUGGGGGAAUAAGGAAAUCUACCAGAGAAGUGGCUAGGGCUCACAGUUAUCCUAGGGGCAGCUGACGACAGGGGCAGAGCCAAGGGAACUGCUGGAUCAGGAGGCCCACGAACAAAUCAGGGGCAUAGCCGCCUGUCACUUCCCUACCAGGAAGGAAGCCAGGUAUAUUACUAUAACCAAGGCACACUGGGGUCUUUACUGUAUGGAGAACUUGGCUCCUGCCCGCAAUCCUAUGGCUCUGCGUCAUACACAGGAAGUAGGGCCUCUGUGCAACCAGAAAUGGGAAUGGGACUGAAGGAGAUUCAGCCCACAAAUAUCCGACCACCAGCUUCCACCUCUGCAAUCAGCCACCCUGUGUCUGCUCAACGCAUCACAGAAACAAGUUUUCAAGGUGAGUAUACAAACAGCAGAGAAAAUUGAAGAAUGAGGUCAGCGUUCAAAAAUGGGGUCAAAUCGACAGCUGGGAAGUGGUGUAGAGACAGGUAGAAUUUAGAUCCUGAGCCUUUAAUAACCACUACCUUCUCUCAGUGCUCUCUGUUUUUAGACUCUAUAUAAGAACACCUAGGGCUUCCCUGGUGGCGCCUGCCAAUGCAGGGGACACGGGUUCGAGCCCUGGUCUGGGAAGAUCCCACAUGCUGUGCAGCAACUAAGCGCAUGUGCCACAACGACUGAGCCUGCAUUCUAGAGCCCGUGAGCCUCAACUACCGAAGCCCACGUGCCUACAGCCCAUGCUCCGCUACAAGAGAAGCCACCGCGAUGAGAAGCCCGCACACCGCAACCAAGAGUAGCCCCCGCUAGCCGUAACUAGAGAAAGCCCGUGCACAGCAAUGAAGACCCAGUGCAGCCAAAAGAAUAAAUACGUAGAAUAAAUAAGUUCAAACAAUAAAUAAAUAAAUAAACCUAAAUUUAAAAAAAAAAGAACAUCUAAUGCAGGAGGGAAGGUGGGAGGGCCACUGUAAAGGUCAUCUAUGCUACAUGUACAAGAACCCCGAGAGCACACCAAUAGGUACCACAUUUUUCACUGCUGUAGCCGAUCAUUCCCCCUGUACUAUACCACACUGUAGCACUCCCUUCCCUCAUCUACUGCUAUAGUCUCUUUGGAAGGUGUUUCAGAACUCUUGUUAUGAGAGUGCCAGUUGAACUGUCCUCACUUCCUUAAUUUAUACCAGGAUUUAAGACCUUGUGGUCUGAGAUCCUGUCCAGAGAGCAAGCAGGCUAAGACUCUGUCUUUGUUGAUAUAUUUCAUCAGAAAGGGCUCUACCCCCUCUCCUAGUUCAUGGUGUGAAGUGUUCUUAGCCUCUCAGGAAAGUGGGGAGAAUUGAAAGGACUCUAUAUGAGAAUGCUAGGCUUUGUAAAACAUUUCAGUUUUUUAAAAAUAAGACUCAUUUUGUAUUGGACUUACAACAGUCCUAUGAAAUACAAAGAAAGCCAAGAAUCAGUGACAUGAAACGAUCACCAGUAAGAAUUACAACAGUCACCGCUUACCUCGUAGCAUAGGGCACUGUCCAUGAUCCUUAAGAAGAGUUAGCAGAAAUGCCUUGCCCAUCUUGCCCCUGAACCCCUUGAAAGGUACACGACUGCUGUGUUGGUGUUUAGGGGGAGCAUCUCACUUACCAGGGACUGACUUCUCCCUUGAUUCCUCUGUAGUGAUGGAGACUUCCCCGCUGAUGAAAAAUUCCCUGGGAUUGCAACCUCCAAGCCAGACAGCUUUCCUAUGGACUGACAGAGAACUUGUCAAGAUGAAACACCAGUCUGCGGGAGAAAGGGAAGAAGAGAAUGAUGGAAAUCGUUUCUGGGAAACUAUUUUUACAUUAUGUUUUGUUUGUUCCUGGUAAAUAAACUGUAAUCUUCUUAACAUUAAAACAAAAUCUAAACCACUAAA